rnacentral:rRNA from 1 species
AUGGAUGGGAUCAUGAAGGCGCUCGAUCACACCGUCCGGGAGAUAAAGCGAGAGGUCAAUCUCAAGGUGCUCAAGGUGCCAGAGAUCGAGCAGAAGGUUCUUGACGCGACCAGCGAUGAGCCGUGGGGGCCUCACGGUUCAGACAUGGCGGACAUCGCACGGGCCACCAAGAAUAUCGGCGAAUGCCAAAUAAUCAUGAAGGUGCUGUGGCAACGGCUGGGCAACACCGACGCAAAUUGGCGUCACCUGUAUAAGGCGCUGGCUGUGGCUGAGUAUCUUCUGGCCAAUGGCACUGAGCGCGCAGCCGAGGAAAUUAUCGACAACAGCUCACAGAUUGCGAAACUCACGACAUUCGAGUUUGUGGAGCCUGGUGGAAAAGACGUUGGGCUCAAUGUGCGCAAGAAGGCCGAAGCUGUUCUGGUCAUUGUGGAUGACAGGGAAAAGCUUCAACAAGCCAGGGAGAAGGCUGCUUCUACGAGGGACAAGUACUUGGGGGUGUCAUCAACUGGAAUGUCAUCAUACAAAUCAAGCGCAGCAUCAUUUGGCAGUGGCACCUACUCCUCUGGUAGUCGCUACGGGAGCACAGCUGGUUCGAGGGAAACCGCCUCGUUCAAGGAUAGACACACUGGCACAGAAUUGAGCAAGAACAAUAAUAAGCCAAGUUACAGCAGCACUAGACAAAGGUCAAAAGAAACUACUACUAAGAGUGCAAAUAGCUCUAAAUUAGCAAAAGGAGGCUCCAAAUCGAUGUCGAAUCCGUGUGCCACACCUGCUGUUCCAAGUUCACAGAAAGGAAAGAAUGAGGAUGAUGGCGACGAGUUCAAUCCACGAGGAUCUUCCACAUCUGCUGGAACAGCUAAUGUGAGCUCCAAUAAUUUGGAUCUCUUUGGGCCAAGAUUAAUGCCAAACGCUGGUAGUGCUGCUGUGCCGGAAAUUGAUUUGUUUGCGUUUGCAGAUUUCCAGUCAGCUCCAUUGGAGGCAGCAACGUCAAGUGGUUCUCACCCUCAGGGCAACAUUGAUCUAUUUGCUGGCAGGCCAUCCUUUGGUGGCUCAGCUACUGCAGACAUGGAGUUCUCAGUACGUGGUGCUCCCAAUAAACAUAUAGAGCAAAAAACUUCUUCCCCUGCGCAGCCCUCUGCGUCUGCUUUUGAUCCCUUCAACCCAUCCUUUGCCGCAAUAUUCCCUUCGGAAACAGAGUUCUCAGUGCGUGGCACCCCAAGCAAAUCCUCACAAGGAAAGCUUUCAAGUGACACAGCUUUCGAUCCUUUGGCUGGAAUUCCGGUGAAGCGUUUCAAUGGAUCAAACUCUUCUGGUGUAUGGUCUUCAAGUAAAGGGUCAGCUGUUACUGAACCAACACAUGGUUCUCCUGGGGCCAGCAAGAGUUCUGAUUGCAGUCCUUCGGAGGAGUUGAACUUUGGCGCCUUUGCGUCGCAUGAGGGAUCACGCACGGCAAGUGUCACCAAAUCCAUGAACGAGUCACUCGCAAAGCAGAAGCAGGACUCCAUGGCAGCAUCAAAACCAGCUGUGAAGAAAGAGACUUUUCGGGGCAAAUCUAGCAUUUGGGCCGACUCUUUGAGCCGUGGGUUGAUUGAUUUGAAUUUAGCUGCCCCAAAGAUGGUUGAUCCUUCAGAUGCCAGGGUCGUUAGGCGGCUCAGCAACGGCUCUGAGGAGAAAGCCCCAGAAACUGUUCCAUGGUACAUGGAGGCAGCAACAGGCACUCCUGAGUUUCCACGCUCCACGGGAGCAGGUGGUGAAAGCCGCAUUUUCUAG